rnacentral:rRNA from 1 species
AGUGAAUAGAUACCCUGGUAGUCCAGGGUGUAAACGCUGCGGGCUUGGUGUUGGGGGUCCUUUGAGGGCGCCCAGUGCCGGAGAGAAAGUUGUUAAGCCUGCUGCUUGGGGAGUACGUCCGCAAGGAUGAAACUUAAAGGAAUUGGCGGGGGAGCACCGCAACGGGAGGAGCGUGCGGUUCAAUUGGAUUCAACGCCGGACAACUCACCAGGAGCGACGGUUACAUGAAGGCCAGGCUGAUGACCUUGCCUGAUUUUCCGAGAGGUGGUGCAUGGCCGUCGUCAGUUCGUACCGUAAGGCGUUCUCUUAAGUGAGAUAACGAACGGGACCCUCACCGCUAAUUGCUAGUGUUCUCUCCGGAGGGCACGCACAUUAACGGGACCGCUGUCGCUAAGACAGAGGAAGGAGAGGUCAACGGUAGGUCCGUAUGCCCCGAAUCUCCUGGGCUACACGCGCGCUACAAAGGUUGGGACAAUGGGCUCCGACAUCGAAAGGUGAAGGCAAUCUGAAACCCAAUCGUAGUUCGGAUUGA